UCUUUAUGGUUUCUUCCUGCAAAAUAGUCAAUGACGAUGCAAUUGCUUUAUUUGUUUCCUAUCAUGUGGGGCAUAGAAGUCUACUGCCAGUUGGUCAGCAUUUAGUGUGUUGAAGACACUGAGUUGCUGAGAUUAAUUUUGAAAUUUAGCAGCCUGUCUUAUUUUUAACUUUUAUUUAUUUAUUAUUUUUAUUUCCUAAUUUUAAUUUAUUUAAUAUUUAUAAUUAGAUGUAAUUCUAUUCCUAAUUUGAUUAGGUCCUUAAGCUCUAUAAAUAGGGCAAAUUUUCUGCUAUUUAGCAGUUUUAGAUUAUGACAAUUAAAGGAAAUAAUGCAAUUUCCUUAAUUUGCCUUUGUUCUUUGUUUGACUCGCUCUCUCUUGGUGAUUUUCUUCACAAGUUAGGUUUCGUCCUGCACAUUAUACUGCAUGAGGUACUUUAUGCAGCUGGAGACUAUUGUUAUUGAGUGAUAUAAAAUCGUUUUCAACUAUGCUUUAAUAAUUUGGAUUUGAAAAUCAGUAAUAUCUAAAACAAAUAGAAGAAAAGAAGAAAAGUUAGUCCUGAUUAGGAACACUAAUGGGGAUCAUUUAAAAUCCUUGAAUGUAGAUUUCUGAUAAUAUUACUAUUUAUUACAGAUUGCAAGAUAAUUUCAGAUGCAGAGCUGCAUUGUUUUCACUGCAAUUUUCUGCUUUCAUUGGGUCGAGUUGGGAGAAUAAGGAAAAUUGUUCAACUGAGCAUAAAGGUACUAAACCUGGAGAAUAUGGACAAAACCAGGUAUUG